CCUACGGGGGGCAGCAGUCGAGAAUCAUUCACAAUGGGGGAAACCCUGAUGGUGCGACGCCGCGUGGGGGAAUGAAGGUCUUCGGAUUGUAAACCCCUGUCAUGUGGGAGCAAAUUAAAAAGAUAGUACCACAAGAGGAAGAGACGGCUAACACUGUGCCAGCAGCCGCGGUAAUACAGAGGUCGUAAGCGUUGUUCGGAAUCACUGGGCGGAAAGCGUGCGUAGGCUGUUUCGUAAGUCGUGUGUGAAAGGCGCGGGCUCAAGCCGCGGACGGCACAUGAUACUGCGAGACUAGAGUAAUGGAGGGGGAACCGGAAUUCUCGGUGUAGCAGUGAAAUGCGUAGAUAUCGAGAGGAACACUCGUGGCGAAGGCGGGUUCCUGGACAUUAACUGACGCUGAGGCACGAAGGCCAGGGGAGCGAAAGGGAUUAGAUACCCUGGUAGUC
rnacentral:rRNA from 1 species